ensembl:snRNA U6 U6 spliceosomal RNA
GUCCUCACUUCGGCAGCACAUAUAUUCAAGUUUAAAUGAUAUAGAAAAUGACAUGGCCCCUGAGCAAGGCUGACAUGCAAAUUUGUGAUGGGUAGUUGAGGGAU